UGUCACAUUCCAGCACGGUUUCUGGACUUGUGCACGGGUGGGGGUUGCCGGUAGUCCUUCUAUUUAGAGUCAGGACAGAAAGCUCUUCUGUGGCCCAGAAAUCUUUGAAACUGUAUUUGGAUCUCUCCCAGCUGGUGGCCACUGUGAAUUGUAAUUUGAAAGGAAUCAACCAGAAGCACUUUCUUUCCGUUGCUAGCUGGGGAACUACCCCAGGACCUGCGCAUUAUUCUCUGGAGAGCCCGAGUGGGGUUGCGAUGUUAUGCAAAUCGAGCUUAAAAGACACCAAGCGAAGAGGAAAUCGAAAUCAACAGAGUAAACUCGUAUGAAAUCUGGAACAUUCACCACACCAGGAUCUUAAAAUCUGGGGUUUUAAGGAUGCAUAGGAGCCAAGAUGUCAGAAUGUGACCAGAAGUUGGAAAAAAAAGAUGCCCACAUCAAAUAAGUACUGAAAAGAUGAGGAAAAAGAAGUUGAUUUCCAGGAAAGAAAAACGAAUAAUCUGGGGAGCUGAAGAGAUAACUUAUUGGUUAAGAGCGUGUGUUGCUUUUCUGGAGAACUCAGGUUUAAUCUCUAGCACCUACAUGGUAGCUCACAAGCAUCUAUAACUACAAUCCGAGAAUAUCUAAUUCCCUCUCC
ensembl:antisense C230037L18Rik RIKEN cDNA C230037L18 gene